rnacentral:misc_RNA from 1 species
UUGUGGAGGAGGACGCCGAAGGUGGGGCUAAUGACUGGGGUGAAGUCGUAACAAGGUAGCCGUACCGGAAGGUGCGGCUGGAUCACCUCCUAACAGGAAGACAACAAAAUGUUUAAUAUUAUUAUUUUGUCACCUUAGGUCGAUCGGUAUCUCACGUUUUUAAUUUAUUAAGAAUUUCAUUUCCUAAGUUUUUCUAGGUCACACCCAUUAUUUUUCCUGGGCCAUUAGCUCAGGUGGUUAGAGCGCACCCCUGAUAAGGGUGAGGUCCCUGGUUCAAGUCCAGGAUGGCCCAUAUCUCUAUGUUGGGGGUAUAGCUCAGUUGGUAGAGCGCCUGCUUUGCAAGCAGGAUGUCAGCGGUUCGAGUCCGCUUACCUCCACUGAUUACCACCUCUUCCAUAACCGGUAGAAAGGAAAUGUUUUGAGUUGUGAUCAAAUUCUGAAAGAAUCUAGCUUCCUAAUGAAAUCAUUAAGAUGCUGGACUCAUUGAAUUUAUUUCAUUGAUUUCAGAGAACCUUGACAACUGCAUAGAUUAUUUUUAAAGACAAUAAGCAUCUUUAAUGAUGCAGAUUUAUUAUUUGUGCGAAUGCAUUAAUAACAAUUCUAUUAAGCUGAUGCUUCAAUUUUGAAGUUAUUGGUCAAGCUACAA